CACCAUGACAGAGAGAAGUAAAGACCUGAGUGACAUCAUAACAGAGAAGUAAAGACCUGAGUGACAUCAUAACAGAAAGAAGUAAAGACCUGAGUGACAUCAUAACAGAAGUAAAGACCUGAGUGACAUCAUAACAGAGAAGUAAAGACCUGAGUGACAUCAUAACAGAAAAGUAAAGACCUGAGUGACAUCAUAACAGAAAGAAGUCAAGACCUGAGUGACAUCAUAACAGAAGUAAAGACCUGAGUGACAUCAUAACAGAGAAGUAAAGACCUGAGUGACAUCAUAACAGAAAAGUAAAGACCUGAGUGACAUCAUAACAGAGAGAAGUAAAGACCUGAGUGACAUCAUAACAGAGAAGUAAAGACCUGAGUGACAUCAUAACAGAGAGAAGUAAAGACCUGAGUGACAUCAUAACAGAGA